UCCGCCCGCUGCGGUCCCCAACGGCAUCGGCUCGUGCGAGCUCCGGCGGCUGAAGAGCCGACGCCGGCGGGUCCUGGGGGGCUGCGGAGAGCCCGGCGUCCGCCCCGCGGGAGAGGGCCUUUCCUUCCUGUAUGUCUGCUUUUGCCCAUCAGCCGGGCUUUUGUCCGCCCUUGUCUGGGGGCGAGCGGUGGCAGAGCUAGUCCCCGGCAGCACAGAGCACGGAGGAGGGAAAGGCGCUGCGGGACGCGGCAUGAGCGGCGGCAGCUUCCUGAGCCUCGGCGCUUCUCUGCAGGAGCCCCCUGUGCCCGGCUCCGAGGGACGGGCGGCCCCUGAGCUCAGCGACGGUGCAGCAGCGGGGUCCAUCUUUCCCGUUUCCAGCCUGGAUAUUGAAGAGAGCCCAGGGCGUUCAGGAGCUGCUGCUUUCCUCCUCUGCCAUGCAGCCAGCCCGCUGGAGUGCUGCCUCCUGCACCAAGAGCCCUUCUCCGGGAUGAGACCCGUGUGGCAGCUGCCGGGGAAGCGGCCGUCUGGCUGAGCAGCUGCCGUCGUCCUGUGCCCCAGGAGAAGCGGCCGCAGUGACUGUCUGCUGGGAGAGCCCUGAAGAACCCUGGGCAGCCAAUGAUCAAGGUCCCCGGUGGAUUCGGGCAAAAUAGAUCAAGCCACAUCAAGCCAAAGGACUUAAUGACUGUAAGAGCAAUGGAAAAAACAGUCUUGAGGAAAGAACCAAUUGAUCCACCCUCAAUCCAUCACCCUGUUAAAAUGUAAACCCUCUCAACUGUGGCACCACAUAUGCUGCUGUAAAUUCCUCCAGCUACCUGUAUCAUAUUAAAAGAACUGAAGAACUUAACAAGACGGACAAUGGAAACUUGAAAGCCAAACUGGUGUAUUUUCUACAGAUGAAGAGAUAUUUCCUGCUCACAGAUCAGCAUGCGAAAGAAGUGGAAGAAAAGUCCAAAACUACAUUCAGAAAACAAACCUCAGUGGAAGCACAGAGAACUCAUCCCUUCUCACCAGUGUGCGUCGCUCCUAGCAACACACAUCAGAUUAUGUUCAUUUUGAGUUUAUGGAUUUCUGUGUUGUAUUGUUCAGUCAGGUAGCUGUUCUUGACCUUUUGUCGUAAACUCUAUUUUCUUCAUGUACCUUUAAUUUUGAAAUGUGUUGCUGAAGGCUGGCUGGUCCAAAAAGAAAAAGGGGGGAAUUGAAAGCACAAAUGUGGCUUGGACCAGCCAGCCUGAAUAAAGAUGGUAGGGACAAGUUAAUGCAGCUGGCAAGCUACUUCCACUUAUCAGAAACAGAUGCUGCAAGGUACUCAGUUGGGCCCUGGGUGAUCACAGGGGCAGAAGCAGCAUAGAAGGAAGUAGCUAGCAAAGGAAGGGUGGCUUUGAGUCAGCCCUGUUGGUUGUACUAUUUUGCCCGUGUACGGCUCUGCACGUGCAUUACCUAGAUUCUCUACAUCUUUGAAUGAAUAUAGCUUGCACUGCUCCAACAGUGGCAGAUUGCGCUGUUGGUAUUGAUCCUCAGCAGGGAGGGGAACCAGUAGAGAUUAAAGCUUCAGGCUAUUCUGCUCUCUCCCCUCCUCCAAGGUCCAACAUCCACUGCCUUAUUUGGUUGUUUGCUCGCGGCUCAGAGUCCCCUCUUUGCUUGUGGUUUCAUUGGUCUUUUGUACUAUUUCUCCUACUCAUUGAAUUACAGAUUGUCUCAUGAGGUACCAAAAUAAAUCUUUAUUAAAACUGCAAACAGUCUGUAACAAACUACAGGGAUGAAAGAACAGAAAACCAGGGGCUCCUGAACAGUCAGGAAAAAGCAUCAAGAGAGGCGUAAAGCCUGGAAGGGAAACAAACAUGCAGCGAAAGCCCCAGCAGUGGCGAGGUGAGGUCUGGGCCAGCUGAGCACAGCCGGUCUCCUGCGGGGCUGUGGGUCAGGUCACUCCCCUGAUUGCUGUGCUUGGAUU